AAGAUAGCACCCAGCAAGCAUAUAUUUGGGCUCAAUGCCAAGGUUUGAGCCAGACAAAUUGACAGGCCCAAGUAAAUCUGGGCCGUAUCCCGGCAGACCCGGUGGGAACCUAACGGCAUGAUGAACGGAGAGUAUGGUCACCCAACGUCGUAUGAACUGGCUUGGCUCAGAGGCAGUAUUUUCCCAGUCGCUUAUCUGCCAUUGGCGCCUCUCCCUCUCUCUGUCGUACAUACAACACAGAAGAAAGCAGAAGGAAAGAAGAAGAAAUAAAAGCAGCAGCAGCUGGCGCCUGGCUCCUGGCUCCUGGGCCGAUCCUUUACAUACACAUAUACAUAUACAUAUAGGAAAGUAACCUUGUUUUUUGCUGAUUUCCUCUAGCUGGGUGACUGAAAUUGUUCUGGAUUCAAUUGGGUUCUUGUUCCUAAAGGAAUAGGUUUGGUGGAAUUAUAUAGAGAUGGGGAACAAUAUAAGGGAAGAAAUCAUGAUUUUGGAUCUAAACCAAGAGCCUUUAGACCAACCACCUGAUUCGGUGAUCGGAUUAGAUAACAUACUCAAUGAGCUUGAAACUGCACAUGGACGCAUUGAAGAACGUAUCAGACAACUAGAAGCAGUCACUUCCAGGGCUUCACAGCGUCCGAGGUGGCAACAAGCUCAAAUUUCCCCUCAAAUUGUGAAUACCACUACCGGAGUUGUUGCUUCUGAUACACAAAACGAACACAGUCAGAGUGGAGACGAUGCUCUAGCUUCCCGAGAAACAGUGGAAUCGGGCAAAACCAACAGAGGUGAUAACAUGCAUUUGAUAGCCAAGGCACUGGGGAUGGAUACACCUGUGAAAAAGGCAGAGCCUCAUACUGGGAGCUUUUUUGAUUGUAAUAUAUGCUUGGACAUGGCAAGAGAUCCUAUAUUGACAUGUUGCGGUCAUCUGUUUUGUUGGCCAUGCUUCUAUCAGUUGUCAUAUGCGGAUUCAAAUGCAAAGGAAUGCCCCGUGUGUGAAGGAGAAGUCACUGAUACAAGUCUGAUUCCAAUUUACGGGAAUGGGGAUGGUAACUGUUCUCGCAAAUCAAAGGAGUCUGUUUCAAAGGCCCCUCCUAGGCCCCCUGCACACAGGAUUGAGGGUUUGAGGCAGCAGCUCAUUAGGCGGGGCCCAUCUUCUACUUUGAUUGAAGAAAGGAUUCAGCAACUUAGCAACAUAGUUGGUUCAAUGAGGGAGAGAAGACGGUCACGGGAUAGUUCCCGUGCCCAAAUCAUGGCUGAAAGAACUAGUUUCGUGCCCAGCCAGAAUCAUGCAUCCCAGGCAUCACCUGCCACUGAGGCGAGAAACCAAAACCAGCAUGAUUCCCAUCAAGUACUACAACGAGCUGCUUCAGUAUCUUCCCUUUCGUCAGUUUUGAGUACUGCAAUGGAUUCAGCAGACAGAUUAGUCGAGGAUCUUGAGGAAUAUAGUAUUAGUCCCCAUGUGAGAAGAACCCAUCAUCAAUCUUUACAUAUUGACACUGGAGAUACAUCUUCCAGCAUUGUUGCAGUUAUACAACCAGAAACUCUGACUUCUGAUACUGCUGCUGAAAUCAACUCUGAUGCGCUCCCUUCUGCUUCCUUGAUAAGAACUGAUACCAUUAUUGUGGACCAGACAACAGAUUCAGAAACAAAUUUUGCAUUGCUCCCCUCAUCUUCUAGGAGAAGAACUAAUCAAAUAGAUUUUGAUUCAAACAAUGGAUAUGCAUCUGAACCUAGAAGAAGAAGGUUGAGAUAAACAAAAAGCUGUUUCCUGGAGAUACAGAUCAAAAUAAUACAAGGUUCGUAAUCAUUAUACUGCAAACUUUUUUGUUUGCUGAAGGUAUCAGAAUUUUCUUCAUAUGGCUGUGUUUGGCAACCAUGUAUGAAGUUCUGACUGCUGUUAAAAGCAUUAUUGAAUUCAUUCUGUAAAUAGAUACUGAAAUUUGAUGUAUGGCAUCUGGGCUAUCAGUAAGAGCACCUUUUUGUCCUCUUUCCAAGAAUUGAACUUUCCAUGGAAGAAUCUUUCGGUGUUCUUCACUUUCAAGGGAUGUAUUGAGGAUUGUUUCUGGUGUUAUGCCAUGGCCCAGGGUCCUUUCUGUACGCCAAAGAGCAGUCUAUAUUUGUGUGGAGGUUUAAUAUGCAAAGCAUGCCAGUGUUGGAAACCAUGGUUAAUUCUUCUCCGGAGUGUGAUUGCUGCUGUUGAAAUUGAAAGCGCGAACUGCUGCUGACUGAGAUUAAGGUGCGAUUGCAUUGCAUGUAAUUGUGGGGCUGUGUAUUACAUUUUUCAAGAUUUAUUAGGUUUGAAUCAAGUUUAUUCCUCUCAAAAGAGAAGUAUACAAGGUUGGUAGACAAAUGCAUAAAAGGCACGUACAAAAGCCUAAAUCUAUCUGAGCCUAAACAUAUGAAACAGAUUUGUCAAGGUACUGGUUGAGGGAGGUGGCUAUCGAACACAUGUUCAACGCUUCCUCCUUCAAUAUUGGUUCAGGAUUAUUAUCUGUAUUAGCCUUCAUGCACGCACACUAUCGAACACAUGUUCAACGCU